rnacentral:rRNA from 1 species
AAGGAGAGCACGAAUGACCUAUUGGCACGACUGAAUCUGCAGGGAGAAGAAGAUGACGACUUUGUGUGGGAGCGGGAUCUCCAGGACCUGAUGACGCCGGCCAAGUGGGUGGCCAUUGCUAGGGUUCAUACUCCCAAGACCUUCAGUCCGAGUGUACUGUAUGGCGAUAUGCGCACGGUGUGCAACCCAACUAGACCUAUAGUCUGGAGGAGGGUCAAUGACAACCUUUUCACAAUGCAGUUUGGAUGCUUAGCGGAUUGGAGUAUGGCAAUGUUUGAAGGUCCAUGGCUCUUCAGAGGACAGGCAGUGAUAAUGAAGGUAUGA